UCUGAGAUAGGUCAGUCAGUAAAGCAUGAAACUUGUAAUCUCAGGGUUGUGGGUUUGAGCCCCACUUUGGGCA